rnacentral:rRNA from 1 species
GACGAACGCUGGCGGCGUGCUUAACACAUGCAAGUCGAACGGAAAGGCCCUGCUUUUGUGGGGUGCUCGAGUGGCGAACGGGUGAGUAACACGUGAGUAACCUGCCCUUGACUUUGGGAUAACUUCAGGAAACUGGGGCUAAUACCGGAUAGGAGCUCCUGCUGCAUGGUGGGGGUUGGAAAGUUUCGGCGGUUGGGGAUGGACUCGCGGCUUAUCAGCUUGUUGGUGGGGUAGUGGCUUACCAAGGCUUUGACGGGUAGCCGGCCUGAGAGGGUGACCGGCCACAUUGGGACUGAGAUAAGGCCCAGACUCCUACGGGAGGCAGCAGUGGGGAAUAUUGCACAAUGGGCGGAAGCCUGAUGCAGCAACGCCGCGUGCGGGAUGACGGCCUUCGGGUUGGAAACCGCUUUCGCCUGUGACGAAGCGUGAGUGACGGUAAUUGGUAAAGAAGCACCGGCUAACUACGUG